rnacentral:rRNA from 1 species
AUGGACGAAGGAAGAAAUUUAGCAACACUUUCCCUGCAGGAUCUCUUGCAAGAAGAAAAUAAUCUCCAAAUUUGACUUGUCAAUUUUGUUUCUCAUGAAAAUAGCAAGCUAACUCAAGGAAAUUAUCACACAAAUAGUCAAUUUGUUAGAACUUGCUUAGUAGUGAAUUGUGAACAAGAAGAAAAAGAAAAGGCUGGUGCUUGCCUUGUUGAGGUAAGAGCAAACGAUCUUAUUCACGAUUUCCUGAUAAUUGAGUUAGUCAAGUCCACUAUUUCGUAUACACGAAAAAGGUAUGAUAGGACAAGUGCAGGACCAAAAAGUACAAACUAUAGCGAAAAUAUGCUUGAUAAAUAA